rnacentral:rRNA from 1 species
CCAGGAGAUGCUGAAUCACAAUUUCAAAUAUCGGGAGGGAUUAAUCCUUUGUAGACGACUUAACUUUUGGACGAGGUAUUGUAAGCAUGAGAGUAGGCUCUGCCCUACGAUCUGCUGAGAUUAAGCCUUCGUUCCAAAGAUUU